AGGAACGGAUUCAUAUCUCAGUCCCAAAAUUCUGCACCAUAUACAAAUCUGAAGAUGCAGCCUGAUUAAUGUGAGCCGGUGCCGGCCGUGAGCUGUCAGCUCCUUGCAGCAGCAGCGGCACGCCUCUGACCCCGGGCAGCUGGCAGCGAGUACACUGGGAGCAGUCUGAGGACUCCCCGGGCUUAGUGACAGUUGCUCAAAUCCCUUAUCAUUUGCCCAGAGAAGAAAAGAAAUUCUAGAAACGGGAGACCAAAGCUGACUGCUUCAUUUGCCCUCAAAACUCUAGGUGAUUGUCAACCCCUCUGCCGAUGAUUUCCAGAGGGUGCAAAUGGUACCUUCCCUCCUCUCCUGGCUGUCCUCACUGCCUGGUGAAAACACACAGUACAAAGAAGGCUGCACUGGGGAAAACAUGUAGAGCAGAAAACUGUCUCCGCAAGACCUGAAGAUGGACAGACGGGAAGGGAGUGCAGGGCUGCCCGGCACUUCAGGCAUAGGGUGCAGGGCAGCCACCGGCUACACAAUACUAUUUGCAGGAGGAUGUCCAGAAAAAAGAGUCAGAGGCACCGAAGAAUCAACAGUUGGUGUCUACGCCCAGAGGUUUCUUCUCCUCUCUCGUUGGUGGCUUCGAUCUUUUUAAUUUAGGAAUAAAAGAAUUCUUGGAAAUGA